rnacentral:lncRNA from 1 species
CUUCAAUUGAUUGUGCGAAGUGCCAAAGACAACUUGCCUAUGGGUUUUGACUUCCGCAUUUGCUUGUUUGUGUAGUAGCAUGUACACACAGGAACAUCCUUUAAAAAGCUUAACAUUUAAGUGUGGCUUGAGUAGAAGAAAGGCAAGGAACAAACGAAAUUGCAUGUCCUGCUCCUGCCCACAUGAAUUGAUAUUAUGAGUGAGAUUGGAAUAAUGAAGUUCCUUACUUUUCAUGACUUUGGUUGAAUUUUUUCUUUUAGGGUGAGAGAAGCUAGAGAUUUUGUCCUGCACAUUGGGGCAGCAAUGGACAUAUUUGCCAGCACAUUUUAAGACAUGAAAUGAAAGUGCCAAGAAUUACCCGCAAGACAUGUGGAACAUGAACUUGGUUUAGAGACUGAAAUAACAACUGGUGAAACUGAGAAUGUUGUGUACAAUAGCAUGUCCAUGUGAGACAAUUUAUUCAUACCCUGAAACGAGCCCAAGGUUGCCCUACCGCGCAUUUCACAACCCCAAUUUAGCGGCUUCCACCUCGCAAACGAGCAGUCGUCAGCUGAAAAUCCUUGCCCUGAAGCAACAACUCAGGUGACCCUUUUCGCAGGGUCAAACAUUUCAAAUUGUUUACUCAGCUAAGAAAGCUGAGUCUGAAAACAUCUUUGAACCAAGGGAAACGGAAAGAGCAGAAUAUAAUGGCAAAGGCAACGCUACAAACAACCAUUUUGCAUACAAACAGUGGAAAUCAAACAGCUUGGAACAACUCAAUCUGCUAGUAUUUGAAUUGUUCGGGCGUAUUUUUGUGUUAUUUUUUUUUUCUUCAAAAGCUCAAUUUGAUCUGAAUUUCUAGUUCAGACGCAAGAGUGAAGAAGAAACAUAAGAAAAGUAAAAUUCCGGAAGAAAGGCAUGGCCUUCCCUUUGCCUCUAUGACUUGCCGUUGGCCCCUUCGUAUCCUCUAGGAGGAAGAAGAGGGCAAUAUUAUCCAAGACAUGCAAUAGUGCUCAACAGUUGUCUUUUUCUUCUUCCUUCUUCUCCACAUUUUUGGGCUGAAAAGCUCAGAGCUCAGAUAGAAGAAAUAAGAACAGAUUGCAUUGUCUUUUUCUUGCAGCACCCCCUGCUUAUAAAGACCCUGGAGCCUGUUAGACAGGUGUCAAAAGCUCAGUCUUUGAGGUUUUGUUUCUUCUUUUUAAAGAAUAAGAGAUGGAAGAAAACAGA